ACACCUCAACUCUCAUGGUUUGCCAUGAUGAGCUUGGACUUUGGGGGUUUUGCUGGCCUGCUGUCAGCUCCUCUCAAAUUGAUCAGCUUGCCAGUGUUUGGUGGCGUCGCAGGUGUGAUAAUUAUCUACGCCGUGGAUGAAAAACAGCUUUAUCAAGUUCAGCUUCUAACCGUCCAUUGACUUGGACAAUUUUGACA
rnacentral:misc_RNA from 1 species